rnacentral:rRNA from 1 species
AACGAACGCUGGCGGCAUGCCUAACACAUGCAAGUCGAACGAAGAGCAGCUUGCUGCUCUUAGUGGCAAACGGGUGAGUAACGCGUGGGAAUCUACCUUUCGAUGGGGGAUAACCGGGGGAAACUUCGGCUAAUACCGCAUACGCUCAGAAAUGAGGAAAGAUUUAUCGUCGAAAGAUGAGCCCGCGUCAGAUUAGGUAGUUGGUGGGGUAAAGGCCUACCAAGCCUGUGAUCUGUAGCUGGUCUGAGAGGAUGAUCAGCCACACUGGGAUUGAGAUACGGCCCAGACUCCUACGGGAGGCAGCAGUGAGGAAUAUUGGACAAUGGGGGAAAUCCUGAUCCAGCAAUGCCGCGUGAAUGAAGAAGGCCUUUGGGUUGUAAAGUUCUUUCACUUAUGAAGAUGAUGACGGUAGUAAGAGAAGAAGGUCCGGCUAACUCUGUGCCAGCAGCCGCGGUAAGACAGAGGGACCUAGUGUUGUUCGGAAUGACUGGGCGUAAAGGGUGCGUAGGCGGUCGCUUAAGUAAGGUGUUAAAGCCCCAGGCUCAACCUGGGAAUCGCGCUUUAAACUGGGUGACUGGAGUGUGAGAGAGGAGAGUGGAAUUCCUAGUGUAGAGGUGAAAUUCGUAGAUAUUAGGAGGAAUACCAGAGGCGAAGGCGGCUCUCUGGCUCAUUACUGACGCUGAGGCACGAAAGCGUGGGGAGCGAAUAGGAUUAGAUACCCUAGUAGUCCACGCCCUAAACGAUGAGUACUAGAUGUUGGAUUUUUUUUUCAGUGUCGCAGCUAACGCGUGAAGUACUCCGCCUGAGGACUACGGUCGCAAGAUUAAAACUUAAAGGAAUUGACGGGGGCCCGCACAAGCGGUGGAGCAUGUGGUUUAAUUCGACGAUCCGCGAAAAACCUUACCAGCUCUUGACAUGGGGAUUACGAGUUCCAGAGAUGGAAUUCAUCAGUUCGGCUGGGUCCUCACAGGUGCUGCAUGGCUGUCGUCAGCUCGUGUCGUGAGAUGUUGGGUUAAGUCCCGCAACGAGCGCAACCCUUAUCCUUACUUGCUAACAGGUUAUGCUGAGAACUUUAAGGAGACUGCCGGUGAUGAACCGGAGGAAGGCGAGGAUGACGUCAAGUCCUCAUGGCCCUUAUGGGCUGGGCUACACAUGUGCUACAAUGGUGGUUACAAAGGGAUGCAAUGGGGUGACCCGGAGCCAAUCCUUAAAAGCCAUCUCAGUUCGGAUUGUUCUCUGCAACUCGAGAACAUGAAGUUGGAAUCGCUAGUAAUCGUGGAUCAGCACGCCACGGUGAAUACGUUCACGGGCCUUGUACACACCGCCCGUCAAGCCAUGGGAGUUGGUUCUACCUGAAGCCGGUGCGCUAACCGUAAGGAGGCAGCCGUCCACGGUAGGGUCGAUGACUGGGGU